GACGAACGCUGGCGGCGUGCCUAAUACAUGCAAGUAGAACGCUGAAGGAGGAGCUUGCUUCUCUGGAUGAGUUGCGAACGGGUGAGUAACGCGUAGGUAACCUGCCUGGUAGCGGGGGAUAACUAUUGGAAACGAUAGCUAAUACCGCAUAAGAGUAGAUGUUGCAUGACAUUUGCUUAAAAGGUGCAAUUGCAUCACUACCAGAUGGACCUGCGUUGUAUUAGCUAGUUGGUGGGGUAACGGCUCACCAAGGCGACGAUACAUAACCGACCUGAGAGGGUGAUCGGCCACACUGGGACUGAGACACGGCCCAGACUCCUACGGGAGGCAGCAGUAGGGAAUCUUCGGCAAUGGACGGAAGUCUGACCGAGCAACGCCGCGUGAGUGAAGAAGGUUUUCGGAUCGUAAAGCUCUGUUGUAAGAGAAGAACGAGUGUGAGAGUGGAAAGUUCACACUGUGACGGUAUCUUACCAGAAAGGGACGGCUAACUACGUG
rnacentral:rRNA from 1 species